GGAGUUGGUAUGUCAGUGGUAGAGUACAGGCUCUGUAUGUAUUAUGUCCUGGGUUCAAACCCCAGCUUCUCCC
rnacentral:tRNA from 1 species